rnacentral:rRNA from 1 species
UACGGAGGGGGCUAGCGUUGUUCGGAAUUACUGGGCGUAAAGCGCACGUAGGCGGCUUUGCAAGUUAGAGGUGAAAGCCCGGGGCUCAACUCCGGAAUUGCCUUUAAAACUGCAUCGCUAGAGUUGUGGAGAGGUAAGUGGAAUUCCGAGUGUAGAGGUGAAAUUCGUAGAUAUUCGAAAGAACACCAGUGGCGAAGGCGACUUACUGGACACAUACUGACGCUGAGGUGCGAAAGCGUGGGGAGCAAACAGG